rnacentral:rRNA from 1 species
CCUACGGGAGGCAGCAGUGAGGAAUAUUGGUCAAUGGACGCGAGCCUGAACCAGCCAAGUAGCGUGAAGGAUGACUGCCCUACGGGUUGUAAACUUCUUUUAUAAGAGGGUAAAGUCAGGCACGUGUGCCUUUUUGUAUGUAUUUUAUGAAUAAGGAUCGGCUAACUCCGUGCCAGCAGCCGCGGUAAUACGGAGGAUCCGAGCGUUAUCCGGAUUUAUUGGGUUUAAGGGGAGCGUAGAUGGGUUGUUAAGUCAGUUGUGAAAUGUCGCGGCUCAACCGUAAAAUUGCACUUGAUACUGUCAGUCUUGAGUAUAGUUGAGGUAGGCGGAAUGCGUGGUGUAGCGGUGAAAUGCUUAGAUAUCAUGAAGAACUCCGAUUGCGAAGGCAGCUUACUAAACUGCAUCUGACAUUGAGGCACGAAAGUGUGGGUAGCAAACAGGAUUAGAUACCCCUGUAGUC